GACGAACGCUGGCGGCGUGCUUAACACAUGCAAGUCGAACGGUGAAGGGACUGGUUUUGCUGGUCCUGGAUGAGUGGCGAACGGGUGAGUAACACGUGAGUAACCUGCCCCCUUCUUCUGGAUAACCGCAUGAAAGUGUGGCUAAUACGGGAUAUUCUGGGUCUGUCGCAUGGUGGGCCUGGGAAAGAUUGCGCCUUUUUUGGUGUUUUUGGUGGGGGGUGGGCUCGCGGCCUAUCAGCUUGUUGGUGGGGUGAUGGCCUACCAAGGCGGUGACGGGUAGCCGGCCUGAGAGGGUGGACGGUCACACUGGGACUGAGACACGGCCCAGACUCCUACGGGAGGCAGCAGUGGGGAAUAUUGCACAAUGGGCGCAAGCCUGAUGCAGCGACGCCGCGUGAGGGAUGGAGGCCUUCGGGUUGUGAACCUCUUUCGCCAGUGAAGCAGGCCUGCCUCUUUUUGUGGGUGGGUUGACGGUAGCUGGAUAAGAAGCGCCGGCUAACUACGUG
rnacentral:rRNA from 1 species